AAAGAAAUAUUUUAAAAAAGCUUCUAACUUUUAUCCAAGCAUUAAUAUGUUUAU
rnacentral:tRNA from 1 species